UAUUACGAGGGGUGCCAUUUGGCUGAGACGGAAUAGAUCCGGACCCUUUGAACCUGUAAGUUAAUACUUGCGUAGGGACGUUAAAUU
rnacentral:ncRNA from 1 species